GUGCUCGCUUCAGCAGCACAUAUACUAACAAUGGAGCAAUAAGAGAGGAUUAGCAGGGCCCCUGCGCAAGGAUGGCAUGCAAAUGCGUGAAGCAGUCCAUAUUUUA
rnacentral:snRNA from 1 species